rnacentral:rRNA from 1 species
UACAGAGGUCUCAAGCGUUGUUCGGAUUCAUUGGGCGUAAAGGGUGUGUAGGUGGCGCGCUAAGUCGGGUGUGAAAUCUCGGAGCUUAACUCCGAAACUGCAUUCGAUACUGCCGUGCUCGAGGACUGGAGAGGAGACUGGAAUUUACGGUGUAGCGGUGAAAUGCGUAGAUAUCGUAAGGAAGACCAGUGGCGAAGGCGGGUCUCUGGACAGUUCCUGACGCUGAGGCACGAAGGCCAGGGGAGCAAACGGG